CUUUUGCGUGAGGGAUAGUAGCGGCAUCUCCCGAUUUAGAAAAACAAGGCUUUUGGCCGUAGUUUUUAUUAAGCGGGAAUACAGCGAAUAGCCCGACCUGAG
rnacentral:misc_RNA from 1 species